UACGUAGGGCGCAAGCGUUGUCCGGAAUUAUUGGGCGUAAAGAGCUCGUAGGUGGCUUGUCACGUCGGGUGUGAAAGCUUGGGGCUUAACUCCAGGUCUGCAUUCGAUACGGGCUGGCUAGAGGUAGGUAGGGGAGAACGGAAUUCCUGGUGUAGCGGUGAAAUGCGCAGAUAUCAGGAGGAACACCGGUGGCGAAGGCGGUUCUCUGGGCCUUACCUGACGCUGAGGAGCGAAAGCGUGGGGAGCGAACAG
rnacentral:rRNA from 1 species